UUCUCACUCAAGUAAUUUUUCUGCUUAAGUGGGGAUGUCUAUGGAUGACAGUGUGGUUUAAGGGUUCUUUAAUUUUGAAGUUCUAUUUCUUUCUUUCCGCUCUUCCAAAGCUCAAUGUUUGAUACAUUCAUUUAUCUGCUCUGCCCCAACUAUUGCUAUCCUUGGGAAACCAAAAGAGCUUCCGAAGGAUGGUAUCAACUCUUUCAAUCAUUUUCUGCUGCGUCCGGUGAAGUAAAUGUUGCAUCUAAUUUAAAGAAAUGUUGCCUCUUGUUGAAGACCGAAAGAAGGUUUGCUGAAUCUAGAUAUGAAGUGGCUUGAUGAUUCUGUAUUGUUGUUGUUUC